AAACCAGUGUGGAUCGAUGCUCACUCGAUCGGCGAAUAUUGCCCAGAAUGCACUGCGUUCAUACCAGAAUGCAUUGCGUGUGACCCACAAUACACUGCGCUUGAAUUAUUCGAAGAUGGCGGACGGUUGCGCGAGAAAGAGGACUUAAAAAUGGACUGACGAGGAUAAGGAAAAUCUGAUCCAUCUGUGGAUGGAGAAAGAUAGCCUGUUUGUUAUCAGGCAAGCUCGUGCCGGAUGGGAAGUCAUGUGUGUCACAGUUGGAGCUGAAAGGAAAGCAGAGAUUU